AACGAACGCUGGCGGCAGGCCUAAUACAUGCAAGUCGAACGCUCCAGCAAUGGAGAGUGGCAGACGGGUGAGUAACGCGUGGGAACCUUCCCAGUGGUACGGAAUAGCUCAGGGAAACUUGAGGUAAUACCGUAUACGCCCCAAGGGGGAAAGAUUUAUCGCCAUUGGAUGGGCCCACGUCGGAUUAGCUAGUUGGUGGGGUAAUGGCCUACCAAGGCGACGAUCCGUAGCUGGUCUUAGAGGAUGAUCAGCCACACUGGGACUGAGACACGGCCCAGACUCCUACGGGAGGCAGCAGUAGGGAAUAUUGGACAAUGGGCGAAAGCCUUAUCCAGCCAUGCCGCGUGAGUGACGAAGGCCUUCGGGUUGUAAAGCUCUUUUGGCGGGGACGAUAAUGACGGUACCCGCAGAAUAAGCUCCGGCUAACUUCGUGCCAGCCGCCGCCGUAAUAC
rnacentral:rRNA from 1 species